ensembl:lncRNA
AAAAAAUUGUCAGGUGUCAGUUGUCAAAAAAAAAAUUGUCAGGUGUCAGAAAAAAAAUUGUCAGGUGUCAAAAAAAAAUUUUGUCAGGUGUCAAAAAAAAAUUGUCAGGUAUCAGAACACAAGGUACCAGAGAGAAAAUCUUCCUGCAGGUGGCGCUGUUGUCAUGUCCCACCCGAAUUGAUUUCCAAAUACGUCAUCAACGUGUGACCGUGGGAGAGCGUAAGGUCAUUGACCUCACCGGAGUUUUACCGUGGUUCAGGCUCCUAACGACACAAGGUAAGUUUAACUUUUUCUCCCUUUUGUUCAUAUUUUUGCCACAGUUGUGUUAUAUUAAGUUGCAGUUAUGUUGUGAAAGUUACAUAUCAGAGACGGAAAGCCAGUUUUGUACGAAACCAAAUCAGUACUAUUUUUGUCUGGCUAAUUCAUUCUAGCUAGCGACAGUGGUGAAACGUGAUUCAAAUUUAAACUGUUCAGUAAUUGUUUUGUAUACAUUUCAGCAAAUGGACAAGCUGAAAGCUCACGAGCAGCCUGCAUCCUUUCUGUCGCUCUUUUUCUUUAUUUCUCUUUUCUAUAUUGCUACUGUCGGGAUAUUUUUUGAUCCCGAUAUGUUUUUUUCUGUUGUUGUUUUUAGACUUUGCUGCAAUAUGUCAUCUGACGAUGAUGAAAGGAAUAUGAUGAUAAUAACAUUGUUCAACAAAGGCUUAAAACAAAAGGAAAUCAGCUGUGCACUGAAUUCAUAUGGGCAUAAAAUAAGUGAGAGGCAUCUGAGACGAGUUUUAAAACUUCUAGGGUUGAAGCGAAGAUGCCCC